UCCUGUGCUUAUGGAGGGGGAUGUGACAGCUCUCUUGACUCCUUAUUUGGGUUGUCCUUUCCUUUUAGGAGUGAAGCAGUGCAUCACUGAUUAUCACCUGUGCCUGCUGCUCCCUAGCUAUAUAAAGUGGUGGAUUCAGUUUCCCCCUCUCUCUCUAGGCAUAAGUUCCAGGGAAUUACCUUUCCUGUGUCAUUGGUAUUCCUGGGGCCCCUGAGAAUCAAAGUCAACCUACCAAUCAUCCCAGGAAGCGCCAGACCCCAUACACUAUCUGAAGAGCCAGUGAGUCAGCAGAGGAUGAUAACCAUUCAAGAGGAUGAGGAGCGUCACAACUUGCCUUUGCAGAUAAAGCUUUCACUAUCUGUUUCCUGAGGCGGUAGGUUUGGUCUUCAUGGUAGAGAGGAAGUCGUGACUUGCGUGGCUCAUGUCUUAACUGUUUUGGUAGCACCUGAAUGUUGCUUGAUGUCCUCCUGGAUCCAUAUUCUUUAUUUAAACUGUUUGUUUGCUAUCUAACUAAC